ensembl:snoRNA SNORD24 Small nucleolar RNA SNORD24
UGCAAAUGAUGUGAAAUAUUUGCUAUCUGACCGUGAUGACAUUUCCACCAAGAUCACUGAUGCA